rnacentral:rRNA from 1 species
GACGAACGCUGGCGGCGUGCUUAACACAUGCAAGUCGAACGGUAAGGCCCUUCGGGGUACACGAGUGGCGAACGGGUGAGUAACACGUGGGUGAUCUGCCCUGCACUUCGGGAUAAGCCUGGGAAACUGGGUCUAAUACCGGAUAGGACCACUGCCUGCAUGGGUGGUGGUGGAAAGCUUUUGCGGUGUGGGAUGGGCCCGCGGCCUAUCAGCUUGUUGGUGGGGUGAUGGCCUACCAAGGCGACGCCGGGUAGCCGGCGUGAGAGGGGGACCGGCCACACUGGGACUGGGAUACGGCCAAGACUCCUGCGGGAGGCGGGAGUGGGGAAUAUUGCACAGUGGGCGUAAGCCUGAUGCGGCGACGCCGCGUGGGGGAUGACGGCCUGCGGGUUGUAAACCUCUUUCAGCACCGACGAAGCGCAAGUGACGGUAGGUGGAGAAGAAGGACCGGCCAACUAGGUGCCAGCAGCCGCCGUAA